UACGGAGGGUGCAAGCGUUAAUCGGAAUUACUGGGCGUAAAGCGCGCGUAGGCGGUUUGUUAAGCGAGAUGUGAAAGCCCCGGGCUCAACCUGGGAACUGCAUUUCGAACUGGCAGGCUAGAGUACAAGAGAGGGUGGUAGAAUUUCCUGUGUAGCGGUGAAAUGCGUAGAUAUAGGAAGGAAUACCAGUGGCGAAGGCGGCCACCUGGCUUGAUACUGACGCUGAGGUGCGAAAGCGUGGGGAGCGAACAGG
rnacentral:rRNA from 1 species